rnacentral:rRNA from 1 species
UACGUAGGGGGCAAGCGUUAUCCGGAAUUACUGGGUGUAAAGGGUGCGUAGGUGGCAGGGCAAGUCAGAAGUGAAAACCCGGGGCUCAACUCCGGGACUGCUUUUGAAACUGUCCAGCUAGAGUGCAGGAGAGGUAAGCGGAAUUCCUAGUGUAGCGGUGAAAUGCGUAGAUAUUAGGAGGAACAUCAGUGGCGAAGGCGGCUUACUGGACUGAAACUGACACUGAGGCACGAAAGCGUGGGGAGCAAACAGG